rnacentral:rRNA from 1 species
CCUACGGGAGGCAGCAGUGAUGAAUAUUGGUCAAUGGGCGGGAGCCUGAACCAGCCAAGUCGCGUGAGGGAAGAAGGUACUGAGUAUUGUAAACCUCUUUUGCCAGGGGACAAAGGCGGCCACGGGUGGCCGUAAGAGGGUACCUGGAGAAAAAGCAUAGGCUAACUCCGUGCCAGCAGCCGCGGUAAUACUGAGGAUGCGAGAGUUAUACGGAUUUAUUGGGGUGAAAGGGUGCUCAGGCGGCGUGUCAAGUCAGCGGUAAAAUGGCGGGGCUCGCACCCGGCCGGCCGUUGAAACGGGCGUGCUCGAGUUGGAGAGAAGUAUGCGGAAUUCGUGGUGUAGCGGUGAAAUGCAGAGAUAUCACGAAGAACCCCGAUUGCGAAGGCAGCAUACCGGCUCCACACUGACGCUGAGGCACGAAAGCGUGGGUAUCGAACAGGAUUAGAUACCCGUGUAGUC